rnacentral:rRNA from 1 species
UACAGAGGUGGCAAGCGUUGUUCGGAAUUACUGGGCGUAAAGGGCGCGUAGGCGGCCUUGUAAGUCCUGUGUGAAAUCUCCCUGCUCAACGGGGAGGGUGCACUUUAGACUGCACAGCUCGAGGUCGGUAGAGGGGGGUGGAAUUGCUGGUGUAGCGGUGAAAUGCGUAGAGAUCAGCAGGAACACCCGUGGCGAAGGCGGCCCCCUGGGCCGUACCUGACGCUGAGGCGCGAAGGCUAGGGGAGCGAACGGG